AAAAACGAGGGGGAGGGGAGAGAAUUUGUUCUCCAAUCACUGGGUUUAAACCUGCUUGGUCAAAUCUCCUUCCCCUAACCCUUUCCAGUUACUUUCAUUUAGGAGAAAAAGUUAACUGUGUCUAUCUUUAGGUAUUAUGUCCAGACUAUGCCAAUUUAAACCUGAAUCAUCUCGAAUUCCCAGUUUGUCUCCUGAACAAGUUCAGGCUGUCGGCUGUCGCAGGCUGGUGGGCUCAGAGACUUCUAAUAGAGUCUGUCCCUUCCCUUUGCCUUCAACUCUCCUACCACCCCCUACUUCUUGGGUCCUGUAAAGGGCUGAGACGUUUAGGAAAUAUGAAUCAAAAGUCUUAUACGAUUGGUGCUUUUGUAAUCCAGCCACUAGUGUCUUCUGUGUGGCAGGUAUUCACAGGGUGACUCUUGGGGAUCACUUUAAAGGCUUUUCUGAAGGGCCUGUGGUAAUCUGCAACCUGCACAGUUGCUUGAAAUGACAAACGUUCUUUCUGAUGUCAUCUCAUGACCCAACCCUUUAACCCCCACCCCGCAGCACAUACUUGUUUUGUUUUGGAGAAGCCUCUCCCACUACCCUCCAUCCUGCUCGGUUCAGACUGGAUGCCUUCUGCUCCUGCUGUGCGCAGUGGCUAUACUGAGACUUUCCUCGUGUUCUUUCCUUGAUCCUGGGUGGGGUCAGGGAAAGCGGGUGGAAUUGAUGCAGGAGGGAGAUUAAUUUGAGUAAGCAGAAGAACGUGCCUGAAUGCACUGCACUUGAAAUUGAAGUAACAUUCUUAGGAUUAGGGUCAAGGUUAAGCUAAGUGCUAUGAGCCCAUCCAGAGGAUGCCCUUCACAUGCUCAGAGCUUUGGAAGCAAACCAGAGCAUCCAGCUAUGACCUUCCAAUCCCCUGAGGGGACUUUAGGAUCUGAUUUAAGAUGUGUCUUUCAAAACCCAUUGGUACAGCCAGGAAGUUUAACUCGGAGGAAAAGCAAGCUUAGAAAAUGUAAGCAAUCCUUGAUUUAAUUGUUUUUUCUCCCUCUCAGUAAAUGGAGUAUGCAUUUGCUAAAAAAUGUAAAACUGUCAUAUUUGACUGAAUAAACUGUGAGGGUUUAGAGUGAAUAAAUAAUGUUCAUUCUAAACUGGUCUUGUUACGGUAUUUUCUUUUCUUAUGAUUCAGUCAUGUGUUUUAAGUUAAAAACAGUGUUUAUUUUUCAUAGCAUUCAUUACUAGCCAGGGCCUGUGUCAACUUUCAAGGUUUAAGUCUUUUCGAAUGAAAUUUAAAGAACCACUAUUCUUUCCUAUCAGAGUAAAACACAUUCUAAAUCCUAAUAAAUCUAUUUCUUUAAUAUGCCACUUGAAGUACAAUAGUGCAAACAAAAACACAUAACGGGUUCCUCUUGAGAGAAAGGAAAACGUAUCCACUUUUGAUGAAAGAUCUUUUGAUAAUUCACUCUUGGCUUCGCCGCUUGAUUUAUAUCGUCUUCCCACAUUAAUUUGUUUUUAAUUUUUUUCCUGCC
rnacentral:lncRNA from 1 species